GACGAACGCUGGCGGCGUGCUUAACACAUGCAAGUCGAACGGUGAAAGCGGAGCUUGCUCCGCUGGAUCAGUGGCGAACGGGUGAGUAACACGUGGGCAACCUGCCCCUCACUUCGGGAUAACUCCGGGAAACCGGGGCUAAUACCGGAUAUGACCUCCUUGGGCAUCCUUGGAGGUGGAAAGUUUUUCGGUGAGGGAUGGGCCCGCGGCCUAUCAGCUUGUUGGUGAGGUAGUGGCUCACCAAGGCGACGACGGGUAGCCGGCCUGAGAGGGCGCCCGGCCAGACGGGGACUGGGACACGGCCCAGACUCCUACGGGAGGCAGCAGUGGGGAAUAUUGCGCAAUGGGCGAAAGCCUGACGCAGCAACGCCGCGUGCGGGAUGACGGCCUUCGGGUUGUAAACCGCUUUCAGCAGGGAAGAAGCCGCAAGGUGACGGUACCUGCAGAAAAAGCACCGGCUAACUACGUGCCAGCAGCCGCCGUAA
rnacentral:rRNA from 1 species